CACGCCGUUAAAUCACAGAGACAGCUGGCUGCCGGCACUGCCCAACCGCCAACCACCGGGGGUCCGGGAAGCCGACCCCUCACUGUGACAACGGUGCACUGUUCACGUGGCGCGGGUCCAUAUGAAUCAGGGGGGCUACGACUGGCUUGCCAUUUGAGGACCACGGCGCCACACCCGUGCCUCGCCCCCCCCCCCUGGCUCUGUUGUCGUGUCGAACAGCCUGGUUGCUAAGGGGCUGGAGUUGCCUUUAAACUGUUUUUCGACCAAGCCCCGCCCUGGAGGACAUCGCAAGAAGCUCUUGGGGAGCGAGUAGGGGGGGAGAGGGGAAGAUUUAAGGGAGGCAGCGAUGGAAACAAGAUAAAGUGGACUAAAGAUGGAGGAAACUGCGUCUUGCCCUUGCCAGUGGGCCGAGUGGUCGGUAUAUUACGUCGGGCGCCGCCACAACCGAACAGAAAUAAAUUCACGGAAAGCUUGUUCUUCUGGUGAAAUUAUUGCAUUGCACAUAUUUCAAUGAUGCCAGUUAUUAUACACUUAUGCUUGACAACCCCCACCACCCAGUCGGUUCACACUAUUUCAACAUCCAGGAGGCUAAGCAGCCAUCACAAAUCACAAAAAACUUUCCAGUCGCCAAGCGUUUCAUUAAAUUGUUUUUUGGAGUUUUAUGGAGCCUUAUUAUUGUUACUGGUUGUUUGGGUUCUUAUCUCGCCGUGUGUCGGAGGGUGACCGAGCCUGGACUUCAUUCACACCGGGAGGAAUGGGGAGACUGCACUGAGGUGUGAGAGACGCCUUCCAGCCUGUCAGUGAAUACAUUUUAGGUAACGCAUCCAGGGAAUGGUGAUUGGCCAUGACGAGAAAUCAACCACAAUUGCACAAUUACUUUCCUGCCACCGUGAGAGACAUUAUUGUAAUGUAGAAACAGACAUUUUCUUUAGAAUGACAUGCACGUUGGAGUCGAGUUUACUCUGCGUAAUGAGUCGAAAACACUCUUCUUAUUGAAUCUGAUGCUUCAUUUUGUAAUUCAUUGAGACUAAACAUAGCCAUCUAAUCCCCCCCAUCCACCCCAUCCCUUACAGUAAAUAAUUUUUAGUUUUACAAACUGCAAAUCACACACAGAAAAAAAUCAAUAAUGAAAAGCUGUGUGAGCUGCAUUUUUCCAUAUGCCCCUUAUACUGCAAUGUGCUGCUUCCAAUAAAAGCUAAAUGAUAUGUAUUUGAGAGUGUUGACUGUUGAAACAGUAAUCUGAGGCCCUGUGUUGCCAGUGUGUCAGCAGGAUAGCGGGCAACAUCUGGUCUCUGGGCCCUUGGUGAAUUC
ensembl:lncRNA